AGUAACGCGUGAGGAACCUGCCUUCCAGAGGGGGACAACAGUUGGAAACGACUGCUAAUACCGCAUGAUGUGUUUCGAUGGCAUCAUCGAGACACCAAAGAUUUAUCGCUGGAAGAUGGCCUCGCGUCUGAUUAGCUAGUAGGCGGGGUAAUGGCCUACCAAGGCAACGAUCAGUAGCCGGCCUGAGAGGGUGAACGGCCACAUUGGGACUGAGACACGGCCCAAACUCCUACGGAAGGCAGCAG
rnacentral:rRNA from 1 species